rnacentral:lncRNA from 1 species
UUGGUACAUAAAUUGAAACAUGGUAUACUUAAAUAUAAUAAAUACUAACCUUAAACAUGAGUGGUUAUAAGGUUUGUUAUAUGGGAUGUAUAUGUAAAGUGGGUUCAGUUCAUAACCAUAGUGUUUCAUCUCCCUCGCCUUCUUUCAUCUCCGCCCCUCAAAAACAGCCCUAAUCCACCAUUGUUGCAGACGACGAAGGCUCCAAUCAUUCCCAAAUCAACACCCCUAGACCUUCUCAUUCCCCCCGUCUGAGUAUCAAUACAAUACUCCUCGAAUGAAUCCUCAUCCCAUCGAAUUUUGACUCAGAGAUCUGAACCCCAGUGGCCGUUUUUUUGCUUUCAUGGGCCCGUUAAGGUUUGGGUUGACGAUCCUUCGAUCUUGAAGCAUUUCGGGCGAGAAACCGAAUUUAUCAGCCAAUUAGUACGUAAUUCAUCGAUUGUUUGCCUCGCUCGAUGUUCGCUUCAAGUCGUCGAUUCCGUUCCGCUCAAAUGGUACCCCAUCUCUCUCUCUCUUUGUUUUUAAUUUCUGCUUCGGUCUUCUUCAUUGGUUCAUUCCCGUUCCUUUAUCUUUAUUCAUUUAGAUUAAUUUAAUUUGUUUGGGGUCGCUAGGAUCGUUUGGCUAGGGAUGUAAACUUAGGGGAAAUUUUAUUACCUCUGGUUUUGUUGUUGAUUGUUGAACUAAUUUUGCUGAUGGUUUUUGGGUUUCGUUUGGGUUGGUUUAGGUUCUGUGAGUAUGGGCUAGGCGGCCCAAGCCCAGGCGGUGACACAAGGUAGGCCUGAGGGUCUGAGGAGGGGAAACAGCAGGGUUGUUAAGGGUAAUUUGGACAAUCUAGCUAGAGAAUUUGAUAUAACUAACUUGGGGAAGCUUCCAGGAAGCUGGGGGAGGGACCUGAAUGGAAUUCUGAGUUCUAACUUAGGGAUUAUUAAGCAAAAAUGAAAAUUCAAAAGGGAGGGUAAGGUGUAAAAUUGCUUUGAAAGGCAGUCAUCAACAUUCUAAAAAAAAAUCAAAAAGGCAAUAUAGAAAAAUUUGGAAAAAUCAAAGGAGGCAAGAAAUCCUGCUAUCCCUUUAAUUGAGUUUUGUUUCCAUGGAAUUUCCAAUUUCUGAAAGCAAUUAGAAUUUCAUUAACGAGAGAGAUGGCUUAAAUGGUUUCCUUUGAAGUUUGAGUGCUAGUGCUGAUCAAGGAUACUGUUACAUUGGGUUUGACUUAAUUUUAUUAGAUUUUUUCUUCUCUUCUAGUUAUUGGGGUGUUCUGGAUCUUGAUGGUUUAUAACUAAGCAGUUUUGGAUGAAUUGAAUUAGGUUUUGGUUUAUGUUUGAUGUUUGCUGGUGUUACUGGAUGCUAUUUGAGUUCAUUUGGCUUGCUUUGGUGCUGUUUUUUGGGCAAUUUCUCCCCUAUUUUUGGAUAUCUGGGCUAUUGGACUGUUUUCUGGAUUGAAAAUUACUGUUGUUGUUUUAUUACCUCUGCUGCCUGCUGCUGGUACCUGUGUCGUGCUGCUGACCUUUUCUACUCCAUUUCCAUACUGUUUCCAGGUACAUGUUCGAAACUGGCAAGUGUAUUUGUAUGAAUUGAAAAGCUGGAAUGAAAUGCACUCUUAUGAAAUUCGCGUGUUCAAUUGUCAGUAGAUUGGUCGAUGUGUGUAAAUUAAAUUUGAUUUAAAUGGUGUAAUUGGACUGAAUUGGAACUAUUGAUGUAAUAAUUGGACUAUAUGUUCCUGUUAACUCAGAGAUUUAGAAAACUAGUUUCGAAUGGGUGCAUUGAUUUCAAGAUAUGUCUAUUAGUGAUUUCAGAUAGCUCUAGCAUGUUAUAGCUGAUUAUAUGGCUUCAUGGGUCCAAAAGAUUCACACAUUAAUUGCUCCAAAGUUAGCGUAAGUAUAAAUGUGAAGUGGUUAGAAUAACAAUAGCUCAUGUCUGCCAAAUUAUAUUUUUAAAUAUUGAUGGUAUCUUAGCUUGAAUCUGGUAUGAAGUCAAAUGCAAAGAAAU